ACAGAUGACCGUCGCGUCGCACGCCAGACCGUUGUCCGGGCAUGCACUGCAUUUAUUGAGGGGACCGGAGGGCGAGGCACCUGUGCGCUCACAACAGACCAAAAGUUGCGCUGCCGAGCGCAUUGGGGGCGCCACUCGCGGUCAUGUCCAUGCCCGUCAAACUCGUAUGGCCGAUUGUCGACACGGGCGAGGGCAGUUUGACUUUAUUUCGCCAGCAUUGAAUGCCUUUAUUGGCCUUGUCGACGACAGCACCAUCCCUGGCGUAACCAGGCAAAGCAAGAACAAAAGAAUGAAAAUGGGUCCGUGGGUCCAUUCCUUGUGGGCAAAAGAAAAAAGACAAAAGCGACCCUCCUGCGUGGGCAGGGCGCCCUGCCUCCAAGCGGCCCCGCUCGGCGCCUAAUUGCACACGGAACCUGAAAAAGAGGUCACACCUGGU
rnacentral:lncRNA from 1 species